rnacentral:rRNA from 1 species
UACGUAGGAGGCGAGCGUUGUCCGGAUUUACUGGGCGUAAAGCGCGCGCAGGCGGCACUUCAAGUAAGGUGUGAAAUCUCCCUGCUCAACGGGGAGGGUGCACUUUAGACUGAGGAGCUAGAGGACGGUAGAGGGGGGUGGAAUUGCUGGUGUAGCGGUGAAAUGCGCAGAUAUCAGGAAGAACACCAAUGGCGAAGGCAGCUCUCUGGGACGGUACUGACGCUGAGACGCGAAAGCGUGGGGAGCGAACAGG